GAUGAACGCUGGCGGCGUGCUUAACACAUGCAAGUCGAACGGUGAAGGCGGAGCUUUCUCUGCUGGAUCAGUGGCGAACGGGUGAGUAACACGUGAGCAAUCUGCCCCUGACUCUGGGAUAAGCGCUGGAAACGGCGUCUAAUACUGGAUACGAGCUGCUAAGGCAUCUUCAGCAGCUGGAAAGAAUUUCGGUCGGGGAUGAGCUCGCGGCCUAUCAGCUUGUUGGUGAGGUAAUGGCUCACCAAGGCGUCGACGGGUAGCCGGCCUGAGAGGGUGACCGGCCACACUGGGACUGAGACACGGCCCAGACUCCUACGGGAGGCAGCAGUGGGGAAUAUUGCACAAUGGGCGAAAGCCUGAUGCAGCAACGCCGCGUGAGGGACGACGGCCUUCGGGUUGUAAACCUCUUUUAGCAGGGAAGAAGCGAAAGUGACGGUACCUGCAGAAAAAGCGCCGGCUAACUACGUG
rnacentral:rRNA from 1 species